AUAUCAACCUUACAAAAUCCACCUCCAUUCGGCCAUGUAAAAAACAUUCACAGAUGACUUAAGACAUGGGGACAGCAAUGAAUGAUUCCUGCCAGUCAAUGAACUUUAACUGGAACCCUACUUGAAUGCUGUGAAAUACAGGAUAAAUCUAUCUUGCACCACGAUCUGCCAGAUUUUUGGACAAAGUUCAAAAAGACUUGCCAAAAUCUAGAUAAAAUUUCCCUGCCUUUUUCCCCCUUUCAAUCCUUCUAUUACAUCACCUUUAUCUGCCCCCCAUACCCUCAGAUUCCCUCCUCAAAUCCAAAUACGGCUCUCAGAAAGUUUCUGCAUCCCAGCAGCAAAGGCAGUCUCCCUUUCAACUUCCCGUCUGUCUGGGACUUCCCUCUUAGUUGAACUCCAGAGAGCAUGUACAAUUUCAGAACUUCAGUCAUACCAUGCAUACUAGAGCACAACUGUGGUGAAAAGUUGAAGAGCUUGGGGCCCAGAGGACAGACUUUCAGACCAGAUGUGCCAUGCAGAUUCCCAUGGGUAGGGAGCUACAGGCAAGGCUGAUGAGGAAGGAAUC